CCUGUGUUUGAGGUGACAAAUUUGCUUGGGGUGAUACACCUGUCAAAGCAGAAUGUUUCUAAGGCAAACUCAGAGAGGACAGAAAUCUCCUAUGGAGCAGAAGGGGAAAAGCUUGCUUGAUACUGAUUUUCAGUAUAGAUGUUGAUUGUGAAAAAGGGACCUCAUGAUUCUUCUGACUUUUGGAGUUUUAAGCAGGAGUUAUCACAAUAGUUAUCACAGUGAUACCUGGCUUGUAGAGUUCAAGUAUUCACAGUGAUGUUUCUUUCUGAUCCUCUGAUGUUGGCUCUUUCUAUCACUGUGGAGGAGAAUUCACCAGGCUUUGGACUGUUUGCCAGAGAGUGGGAAACAAUCUUGGCUUAGAUUAUCUUGAGACAGAUUAGUU
rnacentral:ncRNA from 1 species